CUGAGUAAGCAUACAUACUGUACAAACCACCACUGUGGAUAUAUUUCAUAUAGGCCCUCUUGUAAGGAUGUUAGAACAUAAUGGUUUUCCCAUUUCCAUUCAUCCAAAAUAUAUCAUUUAAAUGCAUUAAGUUUUCAUUUAUGUCUUAAUUGUUCAGUGUAAUGAAGAACUACUCUGGUUUCAAAUACACAUAGUUCUACCUAAACUAGGUUUAUGAUGAUUUAUAGGGCAGUACAACGUAUAGAAGCUAUCAUCAAAAGUAAGGAUGCUUCACAAAACUUAAUUUUCAAUUCUGCAACCUGAAAACACAAGUCUAGCAAGGAGAAUGUUUCCUAAUAUGAGUUAAAAGAGAAGUUCAUGUCAUGGAAGCUUAGCAACAAUGAGUACACAGCUCAUGAUAUUUAACUGUGACAUGAGGGAAAGCAGUCAUAUAUAAGUAAUACAUCAUCAGUAGCAGAUGAAGAGACUAUCAGUGGUAUCUAGCAUUAUAAAAAGAUUUUGUGGGCCACAGCUGGAGAAAGGGGAAAGGAGCCACGCUGUGUCAAAACAAGGCAACUUUUGAAGAAAAUUGCAGGAAACACAAAG